GCAACUCGCCUGCAUGAAGUUGGAAUUGCUGUAAUCGCGAAUCAGAAUGUCGCGGUGAAUACGUUCCCGGGCCUUGUACACACCGCCCGUCACACCAUGAGAGUCGAUAACACCCGAAGCCUGUGAGCUAACCGCAAGGGGGCAGCAGUCGAAGGUGGGGUUGAUGAUUGGGGUGAAGUCGUAACAAGGUACC
rnacentral:rRNA from 1 species